rnacentral:rRNA from 1 species
UACGAGGGGGGCAAGCGUUGUUCGGAAUUAUUGGGCGUAAAGGGCGCGUAGGCGGCUCGGCACGUCCGUUGUGAAAUCGCCCGGCUCAACUGGGCGGGGUCGGCGGAUACGGCCGAGCUGGAGCAAGCUAGGGGGUAAUGGAACUCCUGGUGUAGCGGUGGAAUGCGCAGAUAUCAGGAGGAACACCGGUGGCGAAGGCGGGUCUCUGGGCAACAACUGACGCUGAGGAGCGAAAGCGUGGGGAGCGAACAGG